AACGAACGCUGGCGGCAUGCCUAACACAUGCAAGUCGAACGAGACCUUCGGGUCUAGUGGCGCACGGGUGCGUAACGCGUGGGAACCUGCCCUUAGGUUCGGAAUAACUCUCCGAAAGGGGUGCUAAUACCGGAUAAUGUCUUCGGACCAAAGAUUUAUCGCCUUUGGAUGGGCCCGCGUUGGAUUAGCUAGUUGGUAGGGUAAAAGCCUACCAAGGCGACGAUCCAUAGCUGGUCUGAGAGGAUGAUCAGCCACACUGGGACUGAGACACGGCCCAGACUCCUACGGGAGGCAGCAGUGGGGAAUAUUGGACAAUGGGCGAAAGCCUGAUCCAGCAAUGCCGCGUGAGUGAUGAAGGCCUUAGGGUUGUAAAGCUCUUUUACCCGGGAUGAUAAUGACAGUACCGGGAGAAUAAGCUCCGGCUAACUCCGUG
rnacentral:rRNA from 1 species